CAUAGUUCCAGUGUGCACUGGAGUUCCUAGACGAGGGAGGUGGGCUAAUCUCCUUCUUUCAGUGUGGCCUGGAUCCAGCAGGAGAGAGAAGGUUGUUAAGCUGCAGGUAUGGGAACUUUGGCAAGAUGGGUGAUGUUGUGUGCAUUGAUGUGGGUGUGGGCGGCCUCGGAGACGCUCUACAGGUUAGACAGCUACCCCGGCAAUGGCUACCUCAACACACAGAACUUUUCGGUUAACUCCAUCAUAACCUGUGCCAUCUACUGCAGGAUCCAACAAUGUGUAUUCUUCUCUUUCAAGGAUGGCGUGUGUGUGGUGCACGACCCAGGGCUGGAUCAGCAGGUGGGCGAGGAACAGGCUCGAGUCUUCACUCCCUACCAACCAACCGCUCCCGUAGACGUUGCUCGCAGCAAGCCCACACUUCCAAACUUUCAGUG